CCUACGGGUGGCAGCAGUAGGGAAUCUUCCACAAUGGGCGAAAGCCUGAUGGAGCAACGCCGCGUGGGUGAAGAAGGUCUUCGGAUCGUAAAACCCUGUUGUUAGAGAAGAAAGUGCGUGAGAGUAACUGUUCACGUUUCGACGGUAUCUAACCAGAAAGCCACGGCUAACUACGUGCCAGCGGCCGCGGUAAUACGUAGGUGGCAAGCGUUAUCCGGAUUUAUUGGGCGUAAAGGGAACGCAGGCGGUCUUUUAAGUCUGAUGUGAAAGCCUUCGGCUUAACCGGAAUAGUGCAUUGGAAACUGGGAGACUUGAGUGCAGAAGAGGAGAGUGGAACUCGAUGUGUAGCGGUGAAAUGCGUAGAGAUAUGGAAGAACACCAGUGGCGAAAGCGGCUCUCUGGACUGUAACUGACGCUGAGGUUCGAAAGCGUGGGUAGCAAACAGGAUUAGAUACCCGAGUAGUC
rnacentral:rRNA from 1 species